rnacentral:rRNA from 1 species
UACGAAGGGGGCUAGCGUUGCUCGGAAUUACUGGGCGUAAAGGGCGCGUAGGCGGAUAGUUUAGUCAGAGGUGAAAGCCCAGGGCUCAACCUUGGAACUGCCUUUGAUACUAUAGAUCUUGAAUAUCGCGUAGGUAAGCGGAAUAUGUCAUGUAGCGGUGAAAUGCUUAGAUAUGACAUAGAACACCAAUUGCGAAGGCAGCUUACUUCACGAUCAUUGACACUGAGGCACGAAAGCGUGGGGAGCAAACAGG